AUGACACUGUUAUGCUCCACAGGAACAUCGUCAAACGUCUUCACGCUGAGCCUCCGGCUGCACGUUUCACCUUGCCUGGACACCAAAGACACUUCUGAACAUAAGUGGACUUGAGCAAUGGAACACUUCUAGGAGACAUGACUUAUACCCGAAAGACACAGCGUUGUCGUAGUGUGGCUGCGCAUCCAGGGCUUCUCUGCUCUGAGGUGUAGUGUAACCUGGAACUCCCAUUGUGUCACCUCCUGCUGUCAGCGGGAUGUAGUCCUUACCAUCCUAGAGGCGUGGGAGGAAAACAGAGCACCCCAGAGAAAACCCACGCAGGCACGGGGAGAACAUGCAAACUUCACACAGCCUGGGAUUGAACGCUUGAUCUCAGAACUGUCAGGUGGAUGUGCUAACCAUCCAUCCACCGUGCUGCCAGACACAGUUAAAAACAAAACAAAAUAGGAAACAACACAAGUCAUGGAUUGCCAAUAUGAUUUGUUUUAGUAAUAACAUUACAAUAAUAAUUAUUGUACAACAUUGGAAGACAGCUUUGAAAAUUAACUUAGCUGUCAUACUAUUACUAUUUCUUUCAACUGUAAUAUUUGGCACAAAAUACAAAGUCACAAUUCAUUACAUUACAUUGUGAGUAAUAGGUAUUUAAAAUGCAUUUAAAGUUUGAAAUAUUUAUUUUAUAUUAUUCUGUACUGUAAAAAUUAAUAUGAUAUUUUGGGGGGAGUAACAUACAGUAAAUUUUUAUGUGGACAAUUCGUAAGAUUUUAUAGUUACUGGGACAUUUUCCUGACAGUAUUAUUCACUGUGAAUUGUGUGAGGUAUUUUCCAAUUUCAUUGAAAAAUCAAUUCAAGCUAUUAUUUUUACUUAUUAUGAGGUAUUUUUCAUGUAACUGGGGGUCAUAAAAUUCACUAAUUAACCACUUUAGACCACCUUUUUUUCUGCUGAGCAAAAAAAAAAAAAAAAUCUUUCAAAAAAAUCUGACUUUUACUCUACUCAAAUACCAGAAUAAAGUGCAUUUUUUUGGUCGGGGAUGUUUAAUGCUAUUAUUGGUUAUUUUUCAAUAUUAAUGUUAUGUUACAAUUGUUUCUGAUGAGAAAUGAGCACUUACGUUUGCCUUUGUCAUGGUUUUGUUCUCCGCUCUUCUUUAUGACAUGUUUGUAUUCUCAGUUCUUUAUGACGCAUUAAGGAGUACACCGUCUUUGCGCGCACUGUAUUUAGGGACACCUGUGUGUCUCUGCUUUGUCAGACGAUUGCCUUGCUUACCGCUCUGUGUGCCUUCAUCUUCAUGCUUCUCCAGUUGCCCUACUUUGAUCAGUUUGUUUUAUUGUGCUGUUUUCUAUUGGACUGGAGUCUGUGAUUGAUAUCCACCUAAACGACUUGCCGUUUAUCACAACCUUUUUUAAGUUGCGUUUUGUCUCAGCCAUUUUCAAAGAGCCCAAAAUAGCAAAGAGGCUGUGCUAAACCUAAUGAUUUGAAAGUUUCGUCCAAUCAUCUCCCAGAAGUGGCAAUUGCAACUAAAUUCAGUGUAUUUAUUUAUUUAGAGAUGUGAACGCAUGCUCAGGUCUAAAGGGGUUAAUAAUAAUGUAACAUUUGUGUAAAAUCACAAUUUUAAAAAAAUUGUACUACAAUCAAUAAUGUUUUCGUUAUACAUAUUGCUACUUCAUCCUUUUCAUUGUAAUUUUACAACAAAUUUUCACACCUAUUAUUAUCAUUCACAAAUAAUAUAAAGAGCAAAAAUAUUGAAUUAUUUCUCCAACUCAUUCAGUGCCAUUUAUAGUGAUGGACAACCAAGAGGGAUAAUCAGUGUUGCUAAUCUUACUUUAAGAAAGUAAUUAGUUACAGUUACAAAUUACUUCUCCCAAAAAGUAAUGGCGUUAGUAACUCAGUUACCUGAGUGUAAGAGUAAUUAGUUACUUGGCAAAGUAACUGGUGAUAAUUUUCAUGGUUUUUUUU